GUUAAAACAUCAGACAUAAACAAAACUAAAAAAAAAAGCUUCACAAGCUUCACUGAAGCUUUUUAUGAGCUUUCCAAACCACGCAAUCGAACAGCUGUUUGGAAAUAAGAAAUUGGCGGCAAACUGCUCUGUUUACUUUUUGGCGUGAAAAUAAAUAUUCUUUGUCCGAACAAACUGUUGAUAAUAAUGGAAAUUGUUAGUCAGGAAAAUUAACAUGCGUCCCUUGUUUUUCGUGGAAUAAAACUAACGACCUGACGGCUGCUGACAAAAACUAAUUACGUCAGUUUAUACUAAUAUAUGUCGUUCUUUAUCGCUAAUUAACAACUUUUCCCCGUUCGUCCCCUUUUUCUCGCAAUUCCGCAAUAUUUAGCGACGUUCGAGUUUCGCCAUAGCGAUCUCUUCGAUAUUUGGCUCAGCAAUAAUCGCAAAAUAUCAUCUGUGUUAGAUAGCAUUUAUGAAAAAAUUAGCCAUUACCACGUCGAAGA